rnacentral:rRNA from 1 species
UUGAUCCUGGCUCAGAACGAACGCUGGCGGCAUGCUUAACACAUGCAAGUCGAACGAGAAAGCAACUUCGGUUGUGAGUAAAGUGGCGCACGGGUGAGUAAUACGUGGAUAACCUGUCUUCGAGCGGGGGACAACAUUCCGAAAGGAGUGCUAAGACCGCAUAAGACCACACAUACUACGGUAUGAGGGGUCAAAGAUGCCAGAGCUUGCAGGUAUCGCUUGAAGAGGGGUUCACGUCCGAUUAGCUUGUUGGUAGGGUAGCGACCUACCAAGGUAACGAUCGGUAGCUGGUCUGAGAGGAUGAUCAGCCACACUGGAACUGAAACACGGUCCAGACUCCUACGGGAGGCAGCAGUGGGGAAUUUUGCGCAAUGGGGGAAACCCUGACGCAGCAAUGCCGCGUGAGUGAUGAAGGCCUUCGGGUCGUAAAGCUCUGUUAGACGGGAAGAAAAAGUACGAAGGUAACAUCUUCGUGCCUUGACGGUACCGUCAGAGGAAGCACCGGCUAACUCCGUGCCAGCAGCCGCGGUAAUACGGAGGGUGCUAGCGUUGUUCGGAAUCACUGGGCGUAAAGAGCGUGUAGGUGGAGUAUUAAGUCAGAUGUGAAAGCCCGGAGCUUAACUUCGGAAGUGCAUCUGAAACUAAUAUUCUAGAGUACAGUUGGGGGUGGUGGAAUUCCUAGUGUAGAGGUGAAAUUCGUAGAUAUUAGGAGGAACACCAGUGGCGAAGGCGGCCACCUGGGCUUGUACUGACACUGAGACGCGAAAGCGUGGGGAGCAAACAGGAUUAGAUACCCUGGUAGUCCACGCCGUAAACGAUGGGUACUAGAUGUUGGAGGGGUUAAAUCUCUUCAGUGUCGCAGCUAACGCAUUAAGUACCCCGCCUGGGAAUUACGGUCGCAAGAUUAAAACUCAAAGAAAUUGACGGGGGCCCGCACAAGCGGUGGAGCAUGUGGUUCAAUUCGAAGCAACGCGCAGAACCUUACCUGGGUUUGAACUGCUCCUGCCCGACUUGGAGACAGGUCUUUCUCGCAAGAGACGGGAGAUAGAGGUGCUGCAUGGCUGUCGUCAGCUCGUGUCGUGAGAUGUUGGGUUAAGUCCCGCAACGAGCGCAACCCUUAUCCUUAUUUGCCAGUAUUAAGUUAGGUACUCUAAGGAGACUGCCGGUGUUAAACCGGAGGAAGGUGGGGAUGACGUCAAGUCCUCAUGGCCUUUAUGCCCAGGGCUACACACGUGCUACAAUGGUAGGUACAAAGAGUUGCCAACCCGCAAGGGGGAGCUAAUCUCAGAAAACCUAUCUCAGUUCGGAUUGGAGUCUGCAAUUCGACUCCAUGAAGUUGGAAUCGCUAGUAAUCGCGGAUCAGACUGCCGCGGUGAAUACGUUCCCGGGCCUUGUACACACCGCCCGUCACACCACGAAAGCAGACUGAACCAGAAGAUCCUGGUCUAACCGCAAGGAGGAAGGGAUCCAA